UCCCUCCCCCUCCUUCCUCCCUCCGUUCCUCCCUUUUUCCCUUACUCUCUUCCUCCCUUCCUCCUUUCCUUUCUCCCUUCCUCCUCUCCUUCCUUCUUCCCUGCCUCCCUUCUUCCCUUCCUCCCUUCCUCCCUUCCUUCCUCCCAUGUGCUCACUACAUACAAAAUGGCCACUUUCAGCUUCCCCUACUUGGGAUCAAUGAGGCAACCUGGUAUGGUAGAAAGGCAACAGAAAGAGAUUGCUUAAAUAGAGCUGGGGACUCAACAUU
rnacentral:lncRNA from 1 species